GUUAGAAUGUCUGUUUUUUUUUUUGGGGAACAGUCUUCUAAUUUUAUCAAGAAAAUAUUGAACCUCCCCCACUGUACGCAUUCCAGCGAGAGCCCAUAUGCAAGAUCAGAAGCUGUUAUCUUGAAAAGCUCUCUCUUUCGAAAUUGCAUGUGCGAGAACCGUUCACAUGUGAGCUUUUCUCUCUGCAAACAUAGCUUACGGCUAGCCCUUCGAGAACCUUCUUAGCUCUCUCAUACACAGCUUUUGGAGGGGUAAAAUAGUUAGGCUAAGUGCAUGCUGCACAGAACAAAAAUUGCAUUCAAGGUUGGAAGACUUAAUAGAUGUGCGUGUAGAAAAUAUACAAAAAAAAAAAAAAAAAAAAAAAAAAAAAAAANGAAAAAAAAAAAAAAAAAAAAAAAAAAAAAAAAACGUGGUGAAAAUUUUGCAAAACCAUAAAAGGGAACAUAAACCAAAUAAAAACCAAUAUAAAAGUGUUGUGGCUGCAAAGACGAAAACUUAAAAACCAACCCCUGGAUAAGGUACGCCAAGAAAAAAAUGAAAAAGUGACCUUAUUACAUAAUUCCAUGUAUGUACUGUACAUAGGUUAUGAUCCACGUGUGGCAGGAAAUUGCUGACCUGGCCUGACCCUCGGUCUCGGAGGGGGGGUCCGCUCCAGUACCACGAUCAUCCGUCCCUCUUUUGGUGCCACCGGACCUUGCCUGCAGGCAAUAAAACGGAUGGACUUGGCGAUCGGGACCGAGUUGUUUAUAUACAUAUAUGUCACGCGCAACUAUUAAACCAUCUAUUAUAUUAUAUCACCGCGCCUUGUGUAAAGAAAUGUUGGUGCUUGCAUAUGUAGGGUGUGGAAAAAUUAGCUCAGCGGUCAUUGCCCUUGCGGCUGACCAUACACCUAUGCGCACUUAAAUAGACCCACCUGACCGUAUGUCACCUAUUCUCUCCUUCUCUCAGGUUAUUAAAAUUGUUCGAUGCCGACAUUCUAAAAGACACUUAAGGGAAGAAAAGUGAAUCACAAAAAUCUAGAAAAGAAAACUUAAUGAAAAAUUAUUGAUAGAAGAAAAAAAAAUAGAAAAGAAAAUUGUUCAAUAAUAUUAAAUAUUCCUAGACAUUAACUUAGAAUAGAAGAAGAAAAACAUGAAAUUUAUGCGUAGUUAAUAAUAGAUUCUAAAGGGUGCAUCAUCGGUCUCAUUGUGUCCAUGGAAGGGUAUUGGUAAAAUACCUCUUCAUAACGCUUCUUUGUUAUUUUGCAUAUUUCUACAUUUAUUUAACAGUUAGAACGUGAAAUUGGGCCCAACGACACCAACAGCUGUUUAAAAGUCUGUAAGUAGACACACAUAUACACACAUACACUCCGGGUCAGGGGAAUAGCGUCUACACAGUGAGACAUGCAUGCUUAACCAUAUAUAAAAUGAAUUAUUAUUAACUAUAAUCACUACAAUUAUGCCAUUUAAUUCAUUUAAUUAAUUAAUUCUUACUUUAUAUUUUGAUUAUAUUAUUUUUAUUCAUAUUUGAUCAUUCUCUUGAAUUCCUAUGUAUUAAAUUAGUCCCACAUAUAUAAUACACAUGCAGUAAAAAUAGUUUUAAGGGUUAGGGUAGAAAUAAUGGGGGUUACAAACAAACUGAA
rnacentral:lncRNA from 1 species